rnacentral:lncRNA from 1 species
AAAAUUGUUGGACGUUUUCGUGAUGAUAGAGAAAAUAGGUUGUUAGACUUUUGAUUGUUUCGAGUCAUAUGGUUGUAACGUCAAACACAACACAUUUGGCUACUUGGUAUUCUUGAAGUUUUUGCAUGGUUCUAAUUUGCUGGUAAACUCUUAAGGCUUUUCUUGUACAAACAGCUACGAUUAUACGAUCAAUCUUGUUUGGUUUAUAGCCUUGG